UCUUAUGGAUCAGCAAAGAAAUUGGUUUCUUGAAGUAAAAUCUAAUUCUGGUGAAAAUGCUGUGAA
rnacentral:pre_miRNA from 1 species